UUGCUAUCGGGGCGAGACUUAGCCAUGCGAGUUGUGCGCUCCCUAGCCACGUUGGGAGAGCAGCAAACGGCUCCGUAACACGUAGUUAAUCUGCCCUUAGGACGGAAAUAACCCUGGGAAACUGGGGCUAAUGUCCGAUAGAUGGAAACCCCCUGGAAUGGCCUUCCGUCUAAAAGCUCUUAGAAACAUGCUUCUAACAGCGCCUAAGGAUGAGACUGCGUCCGAUCAGGCUGUUGGUGGGGUAACGGCCCACCAAACCUAUAACCGGUACGGGCCCUGAGAGGGGGAGCCCGGAGAUGGGAACUGAGACAAGGUCCCAGGCCCUACGGGGCGCAGCAGGCGCGAAAACUCCACAAUGCGCGAAAGCGUGAUGGGGUUACCCCGAGUGCCGUCCGAUGAGGAUGGCUUUUCCCCAGUGUAAGGAGCUGGGGGAAUAAAGGGGGGGUAAGACUGGUGUCAGCCGCCGCGGUAAUACCAGCCCCCUGAGUGAUAGGGACGAUUAUUUAGCCUAAAGCGUCCGUAGCCGGCUUAGCAAGUCUUUCGUUAAAUCUGACGGCUUAACCGUUAGGCCGCGGAAGAUACUGUUAGGCUAGAGGGCGGGAGAGGUUGACGGUAUUUCCGGAGUAGGGGUGAAAUCCUAUAAUCCCGGGAGGACCACCAGUGGCGAAGGCGGUCAACUAGAACGCGCCUGACGGUGAGGGACGAAAGCUGGGGGAGCGAACCGGAUUAGACACCCGGGUAGUCCCAGCCGUAAACGAUGCGGGCUAGGUGUUGGGGCAGCUACGAGCUGCUCCAGUGCCGCAGAGAAGUCGUUAAGCCCGCCCGCUUGGGAAGUACGGCCGCAGGCUGAAACUUAAAGGAAUUGGCGGGGGAGCACCACAAGGGGUGAAGCCUGCGGUUCAUU
rnacentral:rRNA from 1 species